AGAAUCAACGCUGGCGGCGUGCCUAACACAUGCAAGUCGCACGAGAAAGGGACUUCGGUCCUGAGUACAGUGGCGCACGGGUGAGUAACACGUGAAUCAUCUACCUCCGAGUGGGGAAUAACUGAGAGAAAUCUUAGCUAAUACCGCAUAACACUUACGAGUCAAAGCAGCAAUGCGCUUGGAGAGGAGUUCGCGGCAGAUUAGUUAGUUGGCGGGGUAAUGGCCCACCAAGACGAUGAUCUGUAUCCGGCCUGAGAGGGCGCACGGACACACUGGAACUGAAACACGGUCCAGACUCCUACGGGAGGCAGCAGUGGGGAAUUUUGCGCAAUGGACGAAAGUCUGACGCAGCAACGCCGCGUGAGGGACGAAGGCUUUCUGAGUUGUAAACCUCUUUCGACAGGAACGAUUGUGACGGUACCUGUAGAAGAAGCACCGGCCAACUAUGCGCCAGCAGCCGCGGU
rnacentral:rRNA from 1 species